AGCAGGAAGGAUGCUUGUGUCUUACUCUGCAGCCUAUGAAUGGUACCUUCAAAAUAUGCCCCUCCUCCUAUUUCUGGAGAAAUGAGUAGGAAUAAUGCCACUCUGCAGUUGGAGAUUUUGAAGGUGAGCGUGUUUGAUAUUCUGUAUUUAGCCUUUACAUCCGUAUUUCUAACUUUACCCCAGACUGAAUUGGAUAGAAUUUUACGUUUUCCUGUAGACAGAGGCAUCUCCUUUUACUUUGGUGUAUUUCCCAUCAUCGGUAUUUAUAACUGAAUAUCCCAUGAUCCCUCAAGUAUUUAUCAUUAACCUAUCAUUUACUAUUGUUUGGAAAGCCAUCUGAGCAUUUGUCUCCACUCAGCCACCAUCCCAGAGACACCAGUAAGAGCUGUAUUACUUAAAAGAGGUCAUAGCUCAGUUACCUUCUUUAAAAAUAUUAUGUAUAAAUUAUUCCAACUAUCUAACCCCCCAUUGAAGUUCUCAAAUUGAUUAUCCCCAUUCACAAAUUCACCCAGGGAAGCUGGGGGCACUUCUCUUAAUAAUUGCCCUUUCAUUUAGAUCAUCUUGAAUUGUCUCAACCUCAAGUUAUAUCAGUUACUACAAAUUCCAGUUAAAAUUCAAACUGUACUUUUAACCUGACCAGGCUGAAAACAUCUGUUGUACAUGCUAUUAAAAGGUUCCAGCUGCCCCUGACUGCCUUGUAUUAGGGUCUGAUUUUUUUAAAUGUCAGGAGAAAAGGGAGAAUGCAAAGAUGUCUUACCAGAAUGCAUAACUCAGGGGAAAACUUAUGCCAGAUAGAAUUCACUAACAGAUGAUACUAAAUGUCUUUCUUUCUGUCUUGGUCAGUUCAGUUGGAAUAUUGUGCUGGUUUUCUUCUUGAGAUCAGGUUGAUUUAGUUAUAUUUAUUUGAGAUUUUCUUUAAUUUUUUCUUAGUGGCUAGAUGGUGUCCCCACCACUGCUUGUCUGCCCUCCCAGGGUUAAAGACCCAUAAGGUCACUCAGGCCUGAGAAGCAGACAUUGUUUUUAGCAUCAUCAAGAAGAGGGAUUGUGGUGGCAGGGCAGUAAUUGCCCCUACCCACACUCAUAUCAGAGUCACAUAGUGGUCCCUUCCUGCCUCCUUCAGGUCGCAAGUCUGACAUCUCCCUUUUGAAGGCAGCAACAUAGGUGGGAGCAGGUAGGGACUGGCCAUCCAUGUCAGAGGCUGAAACCAAGAGAAGUGGGACGAGGAAGGAGCAUAUGGUGCAAAGAUAGAGGGUGAGUCUAGGAAUGAGAUCCUGUGUCUGAGAAGAUGCUUUCAGCACCAAGGAAUAGAACUCCCAACACAAAUGAUUAAGGAACAAGAAAGCUUAUUUCAUGUGGUUGUUAGUGAUGCACUCAGUGUUUCUUGUGCCUUCCUCAACACGCUGGCUUUGUCCUCAGGCUGGUGGCUGGGUGGCCUCAGCAGCCCCAGGUAAUCUUGACAACGUAGCACCUGAGAAGGAGGAUGGCCUUUUCCAUAGCUGUCUCUUUACAUGGAGAAAACUUGCCUCUGAAUCCGCAGGAGACUUACAUUAUUUUUCAUUGGCUAGUUGGGUUGCAUACCCAUUUCGUAGCUACUAAUCAAUAAGAGGGUGGAGUUACCAAGAUCUGUUUGGACUAACUGUUGGAGUGAACUCAAUAUUGGGGGAUUAGUCAAAGUUCUAUAAGUGUGCGCCUCGUGUUAUUAUCUCUUCUAUGUUAUCUUAUUAAUUAGAUAGAUUAAUUAUACCUAGGUAUGUAAAACAUUUAAUAACUGGUAUGUAAUAUAAAAAUAAAAAUACAGUCCCUUUUAUUUCUAUAGCUAAACUAUAGAUACUACAUAUAAAUUAAAUUAUAUUAAUACGUACUAUAUAUAACAUAUAUACCUAUUACGUACUAUAGUAUAUAUCAUAUAUACUACUGCUAUUAUAUAUAGACUGUUAUAUAUAUAAUAUAAACUAAAUGUAUAUAACCUAACAGUUUCUUCCAAAUGCCAUAUGUUAUAACACAAAUCCUUCAUCCCAUCAAUGUAAUAAUUUCCUAUGUUUUUGUUUUUGUUUUUGUUGUUGGUUUUUUGAAAUUGUUGGUCUGCUCUUUUGGCUGAUGCUGUAUUCACUAGCUAAAUGCUGCUUUGCCAGAGCCAGGGUUUGAUAAGUGCUUAGGGCCUUUCCAACAUCUUUCACAUUGUGUUCAUAGCCAUUAGGGGACUGGGAUUCUCAUCAGAACUUGACUGGGGCUCAUAACUUUGCCCCUUCUUAGCAGUGAGCUCUCUAAUUGUCCCUAGGCCUUGAAUCCUCUCCUUUAAUCUUCUCUCCCCCAGAGUCAGGUUGGUAGCUGGGUGCUGAUCCCAUGCAGGCACUGUUCUGGGGGUUGGGGUCCAAAGAGACAGGCAGAGAGGAGGAGGCAUGGGUUCAAGAUGGCAGGUGAGGAACACAUUGGUCUUUCCUGGUUUCGGGAGCUGGACUUGGAGCUUUGGCCUUUUCCUAGAGGAGAGGAAACUCCAAUGACUAUGUGCCCCACCCACACCAGUCAUGGGAGGGUGGAUGCUGUUGAGAAGGAGGCAACUGACUGAGGUGCUCUCUAUGAAGUGGAACAAAGGCAGAGGAGGGUAGACAAGGAAAAGGGACUUGAGCAAAAAAGAAGGAAGAGCUGUGGUUUGAAUUGGGGUGAUGGGCUGUGUGGGUGAGAUGUGGGAGAGAGGAGGCAAUGAGGCUCCCCUUCCCAGAGGUCACCUGAGGGGGCCAGGGAGCUCAUACAGCCACUUACUGGGAUAUCUGGCAGAACUCCUUCCAAGACUGGUUCACAGUGUAAGGAAUGGCUGCUCCCCCCCAGGGAUGGAUCAUCAACUAAAGCAAGGUGCCCAAGCUCGUCUGGUGGCCCUGAUCUGACGUCCAGCUAUUUCCUGGGGCCCUGGACAUUCUGCAACUACUCCUGGAGCCUGGCAGCGUUCUGGGUGCAUGUAAAUAGCUUGGCUGAAUGGCCACCCCCUCCCACCCAAAGGCUUUUGAACCAGAAAGCAAAUUCUCAACUCAUUAAAGCAAUGGAGGACUGCUGUGGAUCCAUAGCCAAAAUAGAAAAGCACCUUGAUAUUGUGGCAAUGUGUGGUUUCUGAGAUAAGCCACAUGUGCUAGAAUUUACAUUAUUAAUCCCACCAUAUAUGGAGUUUUACUGUUUAAGGGCCAGUAUUGAGGUCUUCACUUAUUUUUUUGGCUGCAGCAUGUGGAAGUUCCUGGACCAGGGAUCAAACCCGUGCCACAGCAGUGACCCAAGUGCUGCAGUGACAAUGCCAGGUCCAUAACUUGCUACGUCAUGAGGGAAGUUCCCAAUAUGGAAGUCUUUAAAUACUUGAAUAUUUUAUACUGAAUAUGGAAUAGAAGUUGUGGUUCCAUUUCUCCUCAUCCCUGAAGGUGCCUUCUGGAGGAGGGUGUUGAAUUAUAUAGCUUGAACCUGAAUAUAGCUUUAUUGAGUAUUCUGAAGCUAUUUUUUUUUCUUGUGGAGGGAGAAGGAUGGGCCACCUCCUCACCCUUUAUUAGAAUAGCCAUUGAGCUCUCUCCAGUGUGGAAGGUGGCAUCCUUAACUUGACUGCUGACCAGAAAACUGGCAUCUCCUGAGGGUCCCAGUCCCUUCCCUCCCUGCUGUGGAGUACAUCCCUUGUCAUUCUGUUACACUUGUGUUUUUUUUUUUUUUUAAUAAAGUAAUGUAUUCUCCUCUGCUCAGGAACUCAAAAGUAGAUGUUCUAUAGCAAUGUGAACUGUGAAAGUAUAUCCUGUAAUUUAUGGUCAAUGUGCUUUGAAGGUGAAAAACACCCUCUGGUCAUACAUUACUGUAGCUUCUGUCUGUCCUUUUAUCCACUUUCCCCCCUAUUUUGCUAGGUGACUUGAAUCACCUGCAAAAGAGAUCUGAAGAGGGAAGGAGAAAUGGAAGAGGCACACUGGAAAAAUUCUUCAUUUAUUCUUAACUUAAACUCCAAUUGACUUGCUUCCUAUGGGGCUGGAGACUACAAUGGGAACGUGGAAUUGAUCCAGUUAGCCUCCAACAUUCAGAGAAAGGGAUUGGUGCCAUGGAAAGAUCAGUAAACGGGGACAGAGAGCUGAAUGCUAACUGUGGUUUUCUGAGUCCCUUAGCUUCUCUAUGAUUCAGUUCAUACUUCGGACAGCUCGUUGUCUCUUUUUGCUAGUUUCUAUUUCUGGCCAUUCUGUGGUUUUCUUUUCUAUUUCUUGUAAGGCUUCAGAACGUAAUAGAUAGAAAAUGCCUUGGGACCACGUAUUGGUUAAAACACUCAUCCCAUAGUUUUGUGGCUUACAACAAAAGCCAUUUUAUUUAGUUGGCAGUUCUUUGAACUGUUCAGCUCCUCUGACCUGGGGGAUGGUGGUGCUCAGCUGGUCAUGGCUGGCUCUCUCACACAUCUGCUGUAGGCUGGCAGGUCUGCCUGAUGGUCUACAAUGGCCUCCCUUGUGUGUCUAGAGGUUAAUAGGCUGACAGCCAGGGUCUGGAUGCCUGUUGGCUGGGGUGCUCUCCAGCAUGCUUUGGUUCUCUUCCACAUGACUUUUCAUCCUGCAGCAGACUAUCUUGGACUAAAUCACAUGAUGCUCUCUGGGUUUCAAGUUCAGCAGGUGCUCCAGCAUUUUUCAAGCUCCUGAUUACCUCAUAUUUGCUAAUGUUCCAUUGGCCAAAACAAAUACACUGGCCAGUCAAGAUACAAAGAAAGAAGAAAUAGAUUUUACUUCUCGGUGGAAGGGAGUGGAAGUAUUUAUGACCGUUUGUGCAGUCUAUCACAGAAAAACAAUGGCAGAUAAUUUUGAGUAUUUAUUAUGUGCCAACCAUUAUGCUAAUUACUAGAGUUACAUGAUUUCAUGACCCUUGACCUCAGUGAAGUCCUACAUUUUUGGUGCUUCCAUUAAAAAAAGAAAAUAACUAUAUUAAAAUCCUGCUCUGCUUUAUAUAGCAGAUAUGGUGCAGAAAUAUUUCUUGUAAAUAGAAAUUUUUGUAGCUUGGAUUAUACUUUCAGCACAAUAGGGGAGUUGGCUCUUUCAAGGAACCCUGUUGUGAAUCCUUUUUGAAAGUAAAGAAUCCUUUCGUAACACCCCAAUUCACCUCCUGUUUAGCUGCUUGGCAGGUCAACACAAAGGGACUUCAAAAUAUAGAUGAUGUAGCAAGGGCUCCAACUUUGGAGCUGAACUGCUCAAGGUUCAACUCUUAAUGGCUGUGUGAUCUCAGGCAAGUACUUUAAUUUUCCUAAGCCCUUCUUUUUAAAAAAAUAUAAAAUAAGAUUAAUACAUAUCUAUAUCCAUUGGGUUAUUGCGGGGACUACAUGAAAAGAGGAAAAAAAUGUAAAGCACAAGAUAAUUUACAGAAAUUCAGUAAAUGAGUACAAUGUUUUCUUCCACAUAAGCAGAUGUUAGAUAUAGUAUAACUACCUAUUCUGUUAUUUCCCACCAUGGAUGAGAACCUUUUGAAAUAUUUGUUUUCCAGUUUUGAAAUUAGCUUGGCUUGGUUCCCUCUGUCUGUUCUUCCAAAGUGUUGCCAUAAAGCUUUAUAGCCAUUUUCAUUCCUUGAUCAAAUUCAAGAAGUAGGAUGAGGAAAUGAAUUCAUAGCUCUGUAGACAUCACUGGGUAAAAAGUCUGUACUAAACCAAUUUAAAAUAAAUUAGCUGAGAAGAAGGCAGGUGCUGCCCAGCACAGUCUCAAAAGUAAUUUUUUUAACCCAAUCAGCAGAUAACAGGAAAACAAUUAAGGAAUCGGGAAGCCAUCCCAUAGUGUCUGAGGGCCACUAACCACAAGGUGGCCAUCAGAGUGAUUGCCACUGACUUCUGUGUCACUGGGUGGAGGCUAAGUAUCAGCACAAAACAGAGGCUUGGGGUGGCCAAUCUUCCAGGGCUAUGAGAGCAUCACAAGGAAUUUAUGGCGGGUGAAUUACAAACGCAGCUCUAAUUAGGCCCAAGAGGCAAUUGCAUAAGAACUACUGAGAACAUUGCAGACUCAUAUUUGCUUCAUUCUUGGGAUUGUAUAUGAGAGCCUGGUAAUGAAUGUUCUUUAACAAUAGGAGCUGAGAGACCUUAGCUCUAAUAGCCCUCCUGAGGAUACAGCCUCUUUUAUUUGCAAUCCUGCAAAGAUCAGUGGGAUACUAUUGUUAAGCCUUGAAAUCACCCCCCAAUUUGCAUUGUGGCUCAAAUCAGAAGGGAGGACCAGAGGGGAGGAAUUUUUCCUUAACCACUACCCCUCCCCAUGCAGUACUGAACAGUAAAUAAUCUAGCACUCAUAGGUUUUAGAAUGGCUUUUUUUUGAAGGCCCAGCACAUUUUUAAAAGGGAUUUCAGGCACAGAGAGUUUUUUUGUUUGUAUUACUAAAGAAUUAUAACGUCUCUGACGCUUAUACAUUAAGUUUCUGAAUUCAGGGUUACUUUGGCUACAUGUAAUCAUUGGUUCCUCUGGUCUGCUUUUCCUAGAACUUGGUAAAAAGGUACACAUAGACUAAUUCUCUAGUUGAAAUUUGGAGAGUGGCUUAAAAAAUUCCUCCUAAGAGAUCCCUUGUGGUACAGCAGGUCAAGGAUCUGGUAUUGUCACUGUAUUGGCUCUGGUUGUUGCUGUGGCAUGGGUUUGAUUCCUAGCCCAGAAACUUCUGCAUGCUGUGGGGUG
rnacentral:lncRNA from 1 species